UUAAAUGAAUUGACGGGGCCCGCACAAGCGGUGGAGUAUGUGGUUUAAUUCGACGCAACGCGCAGAACCUUACCUACCCUUGACAUGUCCGGAACUUGCCAGAGAUGGCUUGGUGCCCGAAAGGGAAUCGGAACACAGGUGCUGCAUGGCUGUCGUCAGCUCGUGUCGUGAGAUGUUGGGUUAAGUCCCGCAACGAGCGCAACCCUUAUCAUUAGUUGCUACGCAAGGGCACUCUAAUGAGACUGCCGGUGACAAACCGGAGGAAGGUGGGGAUGACGUCAAGUCCUCAUGGCCCUUAUGGGUAGGGCUUCACACGUCAUACAAUGGUCGGUACAGAGGGUUGCCAACCCGCGAGGGGGAGCUAAUCCCACAAAGCCGAUCGUAGUCCGGAUCGCAGUCUGCAACUCGACUGCGUGAAGUCGGAAUCGCUAGUAAUCGUGGAUCAGCAUGUCACGGUGAAUACGUUCCCGGGUCUU
rnacentral:rRNA from 1 species